AGUAACGAAAUUCUUUACAUAUACAUGUGUAUGUAAAUAUUUUUGUUACUAUUUGAACCGCACCGCAUUUUAUCCGCAGUUGAAUCGCACGUCUCCACUCGGAACCAAUGAGUCUGAAUGAUGACUGCGUUUUGCGGUGCGGGAGAAGUGCGGUGCAGUUCAAAUAGUAACGAAAAUACAUAGAUACAUAUGUAUAUAUAGAGAUUUUGAUACU